AGAUUGAACGCUGGCGGCAUGCCUUACACAUGCAAGUCGAACGGUAGAGUAGCAAUACUCGAGAGUGGCGAACGGGUGAGUAAUAUAUCGGAACGUGCCCAGUCGUGGGGGAUAACGUAGAGAAAUUUACGCUAAUACCGCAUACGAUCUAAGGAUGAAAGCGGGGGACUCGCAAGAGCCUCGCGCGAUUGGAGCGGCUGAUAUCAGAUUAGGUUGUUGGUGAGGUAAAAGCUCACCAAGCCGACGAUCUGUAGCUGGUUUGAGAGAACGACCAGCCACACUGGGACUGAGACACGGCCCAGACUCCUACGGGAGCAGCAG
rnacentral:rRNA from 1 species